rnacentral:rRNA from 1 species
GAUGAACGCUAGCGGCAGGCUUAAUACAUGCAAGUCGAGGGGCAGCAUGAAGUAGCAAUACUUUGAUGGCGACCGGCAAACGGGUGCGGAACACGUACACAACCUUCCUUUAAGUGGGGAAUAGCCCAGAGAAAUUUGGAUUAAUACCCCGUAACACAACGAAGUGGCAUCACUUUGUUGUUAUAGUUUCGGCGCUUAAAGAUGGGUGUGCGUAUGAUUAGAUAGUUGGCGAGGUAACGGCUCACCAAGUCUACGAUCAUUAGCUGAUGUGAGAGCAUGAUCAGCCACACGGGCACUGAGAUACGGGCCAGACUCCUACGGGAGGCAGCAGUAGGGAAUAUUGGGCAAUGGGCGCAAGCCUGACCCAGCCAUGCCGCGUGCAGGAAGAAGGCGUUAUGCGUUGUAAACUGCUUUUAUACAGGAAGAAACGACCCUUGCGAGGGGCAUUGACGGUACUGUAUGAAUAAGCACCGGCUAACUCCGUGCCAGCCGCCGCUGUAACAC